rnacentral:rRNA from 1 species
AUUGAACGCUGGCGGCAGGCUUAACACAUGCAAGUCGAGCGGUAGCACAGGGGAGCUUGCUCCCUGGGUGACGAGCGGCGGACGGGUGAGUAAUGUCUGGGAAACUGCCUGAUGGAGGGGGAUAACUACUGGAAACGGUAGCUAAUACCGCAUAACGUCGCAAGACCAAAGAGGGGGACCUUCGGGCCUCUUGCCAUCAGAUGUGCCCAGAUGGGAUUAGCUAGUAGGUGGGGUAAUGGCUCACCUAGGCGACGAUCCCUAGCUGGUCUGAGAGGAUGACCAGCCACACGGAAACUGGGACAGGGCCCAAACUCCUAGGGGAGGCAGCAGGGGGGAAUAUUGCAAAAUGGGCGGAAGCCGGAUGCAGCCAGGCGGGGGGGGUGAAGAAGGCCUUCGGGUUGAAAAGCACUUUCAGGGAGGAGGAAGGGGGUGGGCUUAAUACGUUCAUAAAUUGACGUUACUCGCAGAAGAAGCACGGGCUAACUCCGU